UAGAAUAUCGAAAUUUUCAAA
rnacentral:piRNA from 1 species